UUCUUCGGAUGAAGAAGACUGUGACUGAGUGGCGGACGGGUGAGUAACGCGUGGGCAACCUGCCCUGUACAGGGGGAUAACAGUUAGAAAUGACUGCUAAUACCGCAUAAGCGCACGAGGACGCAUGUUCUUGUGUGAAAAACUCCGGUGGUACAGGAUGGGCCCGCGUCUGAUUAGGUAGUUGGUGGGGCAGCGGCCUACCAAGCCGACGAUCAGUAGCCGACCUGAGAGGGUGACCGGCCACAUUGGGACUGAGACACGGCCCAAACUCCUACGGGAGGCAGCGGUGGGGAAUAUUGCACAAUGGGGGAAACCCUGAUGCAGCGACGCCGCGUGAAGGAAGAAGUAUUUCGGUAUGUAAACUUCUAUCAGCAGGGAAGAAACUGACGGUACCUGACUAAGAAGCACCGGCUAAAUACGUGCCAGCAGCCGCGGUAAUACGUAUGGUGCAAGCGUUAUCCGGAUUUACUGGGUGUAAAGGGAGCGUAGACGGAGAGGCAAGUCUGAAGUGAAAGCCCGGGGCUCAACCCCGGGACUGCUUUGGAAACUGCAGUUCUAGAGUGCCGGAGAGGUAAGCGGAAUUCCUAGUGUAGCGGUGAAAUGCGUAGAUAUUAGGAGGAACACCAGUGGCGAAGGCGGCUUACUGGACGGUGACUGACGUUGA
rnacentral:rRNA from 1 species